rnacentral:tRNA from 1 species
GCCCGGUUAGCUCAAUCGGUAGAGCGUGAGACUCUUACUGCCCUUUCCAGGGGCCAACAUGAAUCUGAAAAUGUUCAAGCCAGGGUAACACGUUUCUUAGGGUAAGGUUGCGGGUUCGAGCCCCCAAUCGGGCU